AGAGUUUGAUCAUGGCUCAGAUUGAACGCUGGCGGCAUGCCUUACACAUGCAAGUCGAACGGCAGCACGGGGGCAACCCUGGUGGCGAGUGGCGAACGGGUGAGUAAUACAUCGGAACGUGCCCAGUUGUGGGGGAUAGCCCGGCGAAAGCCGGAUUAAUACCGCAUACGACCUACGGGUGAAAGCGGGGGACCGCAAGGCCUCGCGCAAUUGGUGCGGCCGAUGUCAGAUUAGGUUGUUGGUGAGGUAAAGGCUCACCAAGCCGACGAUCUGUAGCUGGUCUGAGAGGACGACCAGCCACACUGGGACUGAGACACGGCCCAGACUCCUACGGGAGGCAGCAGUGGGGAAUUUUGGACAAUGGGCGCAAGCCUGAUCCAGCCAUGCCGCGUGCGGGAAGAAGGCCUUCGGGUUGUAAACCGCUUUUGUCAGGGAAGAAAUAUUCUGGGCUAAUACCCCAGGAGGAUGACGGUACCUGAAGAAUAAGCACCGACUAACUACGUGCCAGCAGCCGCGGUAAUACGUAGGGUGCGAGUGUUAAUCGGAAUUACUGGGCGUAAAGCGUGCGCAGGCGGUUGUGCAAGACAGGUGUGAAAUCCCCGGGCUUAACCUGGGAACUGCACUUGUGACUGCACGGCUAGAGUACGGCAGAGGGGGAUGGAAUUCCGCGUGUAGCAGUGAAAUGCGUAGAUAUGCGGAGGAACACCGAUGGCGAAGGC
rnacentral:rRNA from 1 species